GACGAACGCUGGCGGCGUGCUUAACACAUGCAAGUCGAACGGAAAGGCCCUGCUUUUGUGGGGUGCUCGAGUGGCGAACGGGUGAGUAACACGUGAGUAACCUGCCCUUGACUUUGGGAUAACUUCAGGAAACUGGGGCUAAUACCGGAUAGGAGCUCCUGCUGCAUGGUGGGGGUUGGAAAGUUUCGGCGGUUGGGGAUGGACUCGCGGCUUAUCGGCUUGUUGGUGGGGUAGUGGCUUACCAAGGCUUUGACGGGUAGCCGGCCUGAGAGGGUGACCGGCCACAUUGGGACUGAGAGACGGCCCAGACUCCUACGGGAGGCAGCAGUGGGGAAUAUUGCACAAUGGGCGGAAGCCUGAUGCAGCAACGCCGCGUGCGGGAUGACGGCCUUCGGGUUGUAAACCGCUUUCGCCUGUGACGAAGCGUGAGUGACGGUAAUGGGUAAAGAAGCACCGGCUAACUACGUG
rnacentral:rRNA from 1 species